UACAGAGGGUGCAAGCGUUGUUCGGAAUUAUUGGGCGUAAAGCGCGUGUAGGCGGCUUGGCAAGUCAGAUGUGAAAGCCCUCGGCUUAACCGAGGAAGUGCGUCUGAAACUGCUGAGCUUGAGUGUCGGAGAGGAUGGCGGAAUUCCGCAAGUAGAGGUGAAAUUCGUAGAUAUCGUAAGGAAGACCAGUGGCGAAGGCGGGUCUCUGGACAGUCCUGACGCUGAGGCACGAAGGCCAGGGGAGCAAACGGG
rnacentral:rRNA from 1 species